CCUACGGGGCGCAGCAGUGGGGAAUAUUGCACAAUGGGCGCAAGCCUGAUGCAGCCAUGCCGCGUGUAUGAAGAAAGCCUUCGGGUUGUAAAGUACUUUCAGCGGGGAGGAAGGUGUUGUGGUUAAUAACCACAGCAAUUGACGUUACCCGCAGAAGAAGCACCGGCUAACUCCGUGCCAGCAGCCGCGGUAAUACGGAGGGUGCAAGCGUUAAUCAGGAUUACUGGGCGUAAAGCGCACGCAGGCGGUCUGUCAAGUCGGAUGUGAAAUCCCCGGGCUCGACCUGGGAACUGCAUUCGAAACUGGCAGGCUAGAGUCUUGUAGAGGGGGGUAGAAUUCCAGGUGUAGCGGUGAAAUGCGUAGAGAUCUGGAGGAAUACCGGUGGCGAAGGCGGCCCCCUGGACAAAGACUGACGCUCAGGUGCGAAAGCGUGGGGAGCAAACGGGAUUAGAUACCCCCGUAGUC
rnacentral:rRNA from 1 species